ACGAACGCUGGCGGCGUGCUUAACACAUGCAAGUCGAACGGAAAGGCCCUGCUUUUGUGGGGUGCUCGAGUGGCGAACGGGUGAGUAACACGUGAGUAACCUGCCCUUGACUUUGGGAUAACUUCAGGAAACUGGGGCUAAUACCGGAUAGGAGCUCCUGCUGCAUGGUGGGGGUUGGAAAGUUUCGGCGGUUGGGGAUGGACUCGCGGCUUAUCAGCUUGUUGGUGGGGUAGUGGCUUACCAAGGCUUUGACGGGUAGCCGGCCUGAGAGGGUGACCGGCCACAUUGGGACUGAGAUACGGCCCAGACUCCUACGGGAGGCAGCAGUGGGGAAUAUUGCACAAUGGGCGGAAGCCUGAUGCAGCAACGCCGCGUGCGGGAUGACAGCCUUCGGGUUGUAAACCGCUUUCGCCUGUGACGAAGCGUGAGUGACGGUAAUGGGUAAAGAAGCACCGGCUAACUACGUG
rnacentral:rRNA from 1 species